UACGUAGGUGGCGAGCGUUGUCCGGAAUUAUUGGGCGUAAAGGGCGCGUAGGCGGCUCUUUAAGUCAGAUGUGAAAACCCAGGGCUUAACUCUGGGAGUGCAUUUGAAACUGAAAAGCUCGAGUGCAGGAGAGGUAAGUGGAAUUCCUAGUGUAGCGGUGAAAUGCGUAGAUAUUAGGAGGAACACCAGUGGCGAAGGCGACUUACUGGACUGUAACUGACGCUGAGGCGCGAAAGCGUGGGGAGCAAACAGG
rnacentral:rRNA from 1 species